rnacentral:pre_miRNA from 1 species
GUGCAUUGUAGUUGCAUUGCAUGUGCCAGUGCGUGUGGUGCAAUGCAACUGCUGUGCAGCA